GGCAUGGCUUUUUCCUCCCUGGAAAAGUGGGCUUUGGGACAGUUCAACAUGAUCCAGAAAGUGCAGGCUGUAUGUAAACCUGCCUCUUUUGGGGUAUGUUUUUUUCGCUGGUGGCACUUCUUCAUGGUCAGUUACCUUUGAUCGGAAAAGCAUGACAUUAAAGCUUCUUGCACGUGUCUUGAGAUCAGCCUGGAUGAGGAGCUGAGCUGCAUCGCAGAGGCAUACCUCAGAGACUAAACUCAGACUAAAGGUUUGAUCCAGAAAAGAAGACUGCAUAAAUCACACAGAUUCACGAUUUUGCUGUAAAGUCAAAGCCAUUGCCAACUGGUUAGCUCUCCAACUUUUUUUUUUGUUUUUUUUUUAGUUUUUUGUUUUGUUUUCUCUUCAACCUUUUUAUUGCAAACUUCCUUUGAAAUUGCACAACUUCUCCAUUUCUUAAGCAUGCAGCACUGACCUCCAGCCCUGCGUAUUGAGCUCCAGUACUUUGGCCACCUGAUGCAAAGAGCAGACUCACUGGAAAAGCCCCCGAUGCUGGGAAAGACU